CUAAUAAUGACCAGAAGGAAAGUAUUAACUCCACCUUCCAGAGGAGGAAAUGGAAAGGAAGAGCAAGCAAUUUGCCUAACAAGCGGGAGAACUACAGUUAGAAGAAGUCCUGUUUAUCCUAAAACCUGGAUGCUUUUUCAUGACUCACCACCUCUAGAAAGGUCUGGAACCCAACCCCUGCUGAAGGCGUCCUGGUUGGCUGGUCCUGGUGCCUUUGAGGCUGAUGGUGAUGAGGAUGGUUCUGCAAGGACUGGGAAAACUGCAAACUGGAUCCAGUUGCUGUUACAGAAAGGCAAUGCUACUGCAAUGGCAGUGUUGCUGGGUGAUGCACCCAGGAAGAGGAAACUAGACAUCCCUCCUCCCCUGUCUAGCAGUUAUGGAGGCUGAGAAGUCCAAGAUCAACGUGCCAGCUGAUCUAGUGUCUGAUGAGGACACUCUUCUUUACAGACAGCCGUCUUCUCAUUGUAUCCUCAUGCAGUGGAUUGCAGAACACGAGGAUGCAAGCUCUCUCUUGUCUCUUAUAAAGGCACUAAUCCCACUCAUGCGGGUUUCACCCUCAUGACCUAAUUACCUCCCCACCUCCUAAUUCCAUCCCACUGAGGAUUAGGCUUCAACAUAUGGAUUUGGGGAGGGACACAAACAUUCAGUCCAUAGCACAACCCCAGCAUCCAAAGCUAAGUGUGGAAGGGUGGGGUUGGAGCAAAGAGACAAUAGCCUAGGAACUGGCACACAUGGUAAAGGCAAGGCUCUGGACUGCAAAUUAGUGUUCCCAUGUCUGAAUCCUGCCUCUUCCACUAACAUGCUAUGUGGCUUGAAGUAAGUCACUUGACUUCAACAACGUCAAUUUCUUCUGCUGCAAAAUGACGGGGGUGGGGGAUGGGGGGCGAUCCUGAACUCCUGCUUCUCACAUUGUACUUUGCAGGCCAGCAGCAUUGGAAUGACUUGGGGACUUGUUCGAAAUGCAGAGUCUCAGCCCCCACCCAGACAUCCUGCAUCAGAAUCCACAUCUUAGCAAGAUGCACAGGUGCAGUUGCAUUUGAGAAGCUCUACUUCAAGAGCCCCUGCUAGCCAGGCCCACGCUAGGUAGACAUAAAAAUGUGAUGGAAAGGGAUGGGGUUAACAGACAGGCUCGACCUGAAUCCUCAUUCUGCCAUGGAAGCCUGGGUCAGUUGCUUAGUGUCUCUCAACUUUAAUUUCCUCACCUGAAAAAAAAAGGGAGAUGCGGGGAAUUCCACGAAACUCACAGGAUUGUGGUAAGGAUGAAAUGAAGGGCAGACACUCCCAGCACCAGCAGGGACUCAGGAUCAUUCUGUAGACUCUAUUGUAGAAUCAGUGUGGGUCAGGACAUCAGGGCAGGCCUCCUGAGAGCAGAACGGAAGCUGGGUCUCAAAGAAUUCACAGGAUAUAAACAGACAAACCAAAGAGACUGGACUCUGAAGGGACGUUUGUAAAACGUGGGACUGAGAGAGCUGUAACCCAAACAGAGCUGACUCUUGAGACUCUUCACGGAACUGAGAAGAUCAGUGCCAAGGCGUCUUGCUUGAAAACUACAUUUCUGUCUGCUAGACUUGCUGCCUAGACAGGUUUGGGAGCUUCUGCAUGUAGGUGAUGAGUGAGGUCACGCCAGGAGUGGGGGAUGGCAAGUUUUCAGAGAGCAAUGGGCAAGGAGGGGACCCUGAGCCACACCAAGGCUGGGGCUGGGGUAGGGGCAGAGCCUGGCAUGGGGCCAAGGGGUCAGACUGAUGGAAGGAGGCUGCUAUUCACAGAGCAUGGGAGGACAGGGUUUCAGGAGGAGAGAGGGGACUGAGAGGGCAGGUGGGAGGACUGACAAGAGCCCACUGGAUCU